AUUCCAGCUCCAAUAGCGUAUAUUAAUGUUGUUGCAGUUAAAAAGCUCGUAGUUGGAUUCCUGGCUCGGGGUAACCGGUCCGCCUUGCAAAAGGUGCGCACUGUGUGGCCUCGGCCAUCCUUGGGAAGAGCGGCUCUGGCAUUCGGUUGUCGGGGUCGGGAUUCCCGACGUUUACUGUGAAAAAAUCAGAGUGUUCAACGCAGGCUUACGCCUUGAAUACAUUAGCAUGGAAUAAUGAGAUAGGACCUUGGCGGUCUAUUUUGUUGGUUUGCACGCCGAGGUAAUGAUUAACAGGGACGGUUGGGGUUCUUCGUAUUCAAUUGUCAGAGGUGAAAUUCUUGGAUUUAUGGAAGACGAACUGCUGCGAAAGCGUCGAACAAGGACGUUCUCAUUG
rnacentral:rRNA from 1 species